UUUUUUGUUUAAUAUUUUGAGUAUUUUAUUUUAUAAUUUUAUAAUUUUAUUUUUAUCGCGUCGUUAAAAUUUGUCGAUAAAUAGGACAUUAUGUUAAUAUAUUUUACAAACUACAAGAUAUCUUUAUAAUACUCAAUUUUUUAAUUUAUUUGAUUAAAGUAAUUUAUUGACUUUUCAAAUACAAAAUUUAUUAUUUAUUUUAAUAAAUUUAUAGUUAUGUAAAUAUUAUAAAAUAUAUUAACGAAAUUCGUAGAGAUNUCUUUUAUUAUUCAUUCAUUUUUUAUAAUUUAUAUCAAAAAUAUUCUUAAAAAUAGUAUAAAUAUAUUAAAAGUUAUUUUUUAUUUAUAUAAUAAGUAAUGACAAUUUGAUCAUUUCACUCUUUACAUUAACAUCAAAAUUCUAAAAUAUAUUUAAACUUUUAAAAGAAUAAAAUAAAGAUUUUUUUAAAGUAAAAAAAUAUAUAAAAAGAGUUUUUACAUAAUAAAAGAAUAAUGUU
rnacentral:lncRNA from 1 species